UCUGGCUCAGAUUGAACGCUGGCGGCAGGCCUAACACAUGCAAGUCGAGCGGUAGCACAGAGAGCUUGCUCUCGGGUGACGAGCGGCGGACGGGUGAGUAAUGUCUGGGAAACUGCCUGAUGGAGGGGGAUAACUACUGGAAACGGUAGCUAAUACCGCAUAACGUCGCAAGACCAAAGUGGGGGACCUUCGGGCCUCAUGCCAUCAGAUGUGCCCAGAUGGGAUUAGCUAGUAGGUGGGGUAACGGCUCACCUAGGCGACGAUCCCUAGCUGGUCUGAGAGGAUGACCAGCCACACUGGAACUGAGACACGGUCCAGACUCCUACGGGAGGCAGCAGUGGGGAAUAUUGCACAAUGGGCGCAAGCCUGAUGCAGCCAUGCCGCGUGUGUGAAGAAGGCCUUCGGGUUGUAAAGCACUUUCAGCGGGGAGGAAGGCGUUAAGGUUAAUAACCUUGGCGAUUGACGUUACCCGCAGAAGAAGCACCGGCUAACUCCGUGCCAGCAGCCGCGGUAAUACGGAGGGUGCAAGCGUUAAUCGGAAUUACUGGGCGUAAAGCGCACGCAGGCGGUCUGUCAAGUCGGAUGUGAAAUCCCCGGGCUCAACCUGGGAACUGCAUUCGAAACUGGCAGGCUAGAGUCUUGUAGAGGGGGGUAGAAUUCCAGGUGUAGCGGUGAAAUGCGUAGAGAUCUGGAGGAAUACCGGUGGCGAAGGCGGCCCCCUGGACAAAGACUGACGCUCAGGUGCGAAAGCGUGGGGAGCAAACAGGAUUAGAUACCCUGGUAGUCCACGCCGUAAACGAUGUCGAUUUGGAGGUUGUGCCCUUGAGGCGUGGCUUCCGGAGCUAACGCUUAAAUCGACCGCCUGGGGAGUACGGCCGCAAGGUUAAAACUCAAGGAAUUU
rnacentral:rRNA from 1 species